UAUAUUAAUAAUAUUUUAUUAUUUAUAUAUACAUAUAAAUAAUAAAAAAAAAAAACGGGAUGUACAUUAUUUCUUUUUUUUUUAUAUAUAUACACAAUAGUUUUCUUAAUCAAAUAAUAAUAAUAAUAAUAAUAAUAAUAAUAAAAUAGAAUCGAAGUUAACAAUAUUUAAAAAAAAAUCAAAAUAUAAUCGUGGUUAAUAUUAAAAAUUAAUAAUAUCGUACAGUCUUCGAUCAAGUAAUAUUAAUAAUAAUAAUAAUAAUAAUAAUAUACCUAGUUUUUUUUUUUGUUUUUUUUUUCCGUAUUAUUAUUUUUCCGAAACGAAAUAUCGCGAUUUUAUUCCCUUAUUCGUAAUAUUGUUUUUUUUUUGGUUUUUUUUUUUAUUUUUUAAGUAUGACGCGCAACGUAUUUCGUACAGGUACUUAAAAGCCGCGACUCCGCGUGGUCGUUUCGAAUACGCGCGAAAGUAUUUAUUUAUUGUUUUCCGAUUUUUCCCGCGGGUGUCGGCGGCCCCGAUUAUUGACAAUCGCGAGUGAAACCGUAAGCGAGUAAGUAGGCGAGCGCGCGCGCGUACAGAAAUGUGCACGACGUCUCCGCUAGCACCGAGUGCCACGACCGAAACGGCGCGGCGCGUAUAUUAUUCCGGGGGAUGCAGACACGAGGCGCGCCCGCGGUAUAACGGAUUUAUAUAAUUUAUUUAUGUAUUUCGAUAUUAUCGUACUCGUUUCGUAUAAUAUAUUGUGUGUAUUUAAUUUUUAAUUUUUUUUUUUUUUUUUUUUUUUUUAUGUCAAACAGGAGAAAACAAAAACGGACAAAUAAUAUAAUAAAAAAAAAAAAAAAAAAAUCGUAAGUAUAUAAGGUUUUAUAUUAUUAUUACAUUAUUGUGUUGCUCGCGCGCGCGUCUCCGAAAAAAUAAUAAAAAGCCGAAUCCAUUUCAGAUAACGCGGCGGCGGCGGUACACUAAGUGGUAAUUCGUGUACCGAAUAAAAGAAAUACACACGCGCGCGCGCGUAAAAUAUAUAUAAAUGUAUUUAUUUUAUUUUUUUUUUUUUUUCAUUCUCUUCUCGUUUUUCCUCUCGCCAGAUCUUUCGUCCGCGCGCGCGCUUGUGUGUGUAACAUUAUUAUCGUGUAUGGGUUAGGUACAGGUACGGUGUAUAAUAUACCGACGAAAGCGCACAACUCGGACACGUCGGAAUAAUAAUAACGCGCGCGCGCGCGGGACGGGGUGAAGGGGGGGGGGCUGGGGGUGGGGGGGGGGAAUAAACGCUCUAGGAGAGUGCGCGCGUAUAUCCUAAUAAUAAUACGUAAGAGGAGAUAUUAAAGAGAGAGAGAGAGAGAAAAAAAAAAAAACACGAGAGCCUAGAACCGGUAUUAUUAUUAUUAUUAUCAUCAUCACGACGACCGCGACGAAGACAAAAAAACCCCCGGAGACCGAACGGCGGUGCGCGAACACUGCGGGGCGAGGAGAGCGGCGAAAAAGACAGACGGACAGAGAAGACGGAGAGAAAGAGAAUGAGAGAGGCGGAAUAAAAUACUGUAAUAACAAUAAUAAUAAUAAUAUAAUACCGCGCCACCGACACCCACGGAGGUUUUUAAUUAUCCCGCGCGCAUGUCGUAAAUAUUUAUCGAAAUAUUGUUUUUUUUUUUUUGAUUAUUUUUUGAUAACUUCACCGCCGUCACCGUUGUCGAAAUCGAAAAAACGGACGAUUUUUUUAUUUUUUUGAAAAAGCCGAAUACGAGAGAGUAGUUUAUUUUAGUGUCGUGCUAGAGUAUUGAAAAAAAAAAUGUCUCCUUCUCGUUUAAAGGGAUAGGUAAGUUUAUAGCGCGAGAGGGGCGGCGAAUGAAAAAAAAAAAAAAAAAUUGGAAAAAAACAGCGGUACGAAGACUAAAUAUUCAGUCUGGCCCGGGAGAGGCCGCGAUUCAUUUUUUUUUUUUAUCUCGCGAAUAUAACGCGCAAAAUUUGGUUGCUCAAAAUCGUUGUAAAUUAUACGUUUUAUUUUUCGUUUGCAUACGUUUGAGCUGACUAGAAAAAUGGCGUUAGAUUCAUAAAUAAUAUUUUAUUAUAUUAGUUAGUACGAACCGUUUUUUGUUUUUUGUUUUUUUUACAAAAUAAUUAAUAAUAUCUUUUUAGUUUUGUUUUCCGUUCGUUGUGAGACCCGCCUAUAUAUAAUCACAUUUUUUUACAAUAAUAUUAAAAAAUUAUAAUACGGCGGUGGUAGCGGUGGCGGCGACGGACGCGCGGCCCGUCGCCGCGCGCGCGUACACUCAAAACAGAGAAUAAAAAUACAGUGAUAAUAAAAAUAAUAAAAAUAAUAAUAAUAAGAUAAAAAAAAAAUACAAGAAGUUUCACAUUCA